GGAAAAAGGGGGAAAGAGACCCAGAGGGGAGGCGCAGAAGACCUGUUGGCACCCGCUGGCUGAGGGUCCUAUCCUUUCUCUUCCUCCUAUGAGGCGAGCCUGGCGAGCUUCAGUUUCCUUCCUCCUAGAUGUUCAUUUCAGCCCUGUUGCUGGGCUCAGGGGGCCCCCACCCAUCUGUCUCCAGCCAGACUGGGGCGCUCAGGGCUUAUAAAUUAGCAUCAGCUUCUGCUCUCAGCUCCUGAUGCCUCCUCUGUUAUCCUUAAUGGGCCUGCGGUCACAAACCACGGCCCUCGACAGCCCCGACUUCCUCUUUCUAAAGCUUAUCUCCCCCCCUGGAAAUGAUGCACAAUCCAUAUUCCUGCUCCCUGGCUGGCCCGGCUCCGCUCCCACAUCCACGUCUCACAUCCUCGUGCCUUGGUUUCUCCAGGGUCUCCGAAGGGGAUUGCCUGGCAAAGUGGGAUAAAAAUAUACCGGCUGCUUCCUACAGAGUUUCUCAAGUUCUGACUUCCUGGUGGAAGGAUUUAAAAAUGAGUAAGAAUCCCAGGCGGUCCAGGGGUACAGCAUCAAAGAGAUGCCUCUCCAUCUCUCUCCUCCGUCAGCCUGGGAUGAUCAUUUUCCCUUCCAGGGCCUCAAUUUUCUCUUCUGUAAAUGAAGAGUUGGAUGGGAUGAUUUCUGAGGUCCCUUCCAUCUCUGACUUUGGUGGCUGCCCAGCAUGCUCAUCUUCCAACAGAAAAUCUUGGAGGGCUUCUCUCCAGGGUGGAAAAAAAAAGUCCUGCCCAAUCGCUACCAUAGGCAUCCUUUCCCAUGAUCUCAGUCUGACCUGGACCGCCAGUUAUGGCGGCAUCAGCAGAGCCGGUCUCCCUACGGAUGGAGAGCAGAACCUGUAUCUUUUCAUUCAGUACAGUCUUGGCAUCUUUCCAGAAAUCCUCAAGAACCGCCUAGUUCAAAUUCCGCUUCACACAUUCCCUAGUGGUAUUUUCCCAGAUGAGCCCCCUUCCCCUCUCA
rnacentral:lncRNA from 1 species